GACAGAGGGUGCAAACGUUGCUCGGAAUCACUGGGCGUAAAGGGCGCGUAGGCGGGAAGGAAAGUCAGAUGUGAAAUCCCUGGGCUCAACCCAGGAACUGCAUUUGAAACUCCCUUUCUUGAGUGUCGGAGAGGAAAGCGGAGUUCCUGGUGUAGAGGUGAAAUUCGUAGAUAUCAGGAGGAACACCGGUGGCGAAGGCGGCUUUCUGGACGACAACUGACGCUGAGACGCGAAAGCGUGGGGAGCAAACAGG
rnacentral:rRNA from 1 species